rnacentral:rRNA from 1 species
AACGAACGCUGGCGGCGCGCCUAAUACAUGCAAGUCGAGCGAGAAGACGUAGCAAUACGUUUGUAAAGCGGCGAACGGGUGAGGAAUACAUGGGUAACCUACCCUCGAGUGGGGAAUAACUAGCCGAAAGGUUAGCUAAUACCGCGUACGCUCCUUGGACUUCGGUUCAGGGAGGAAAGCGAUACCGUGGGUGUCGCGCUCUUGGAUGGGCUCAUGUCCUAUCAGCUUGUUGGUGAGGAACGGCUCACCAAGGCUUCGACGGGUAGCUGGUCUGAGAGGACGAUCAGCCACACUGGCACUGCGACACGGGCCAGACUCCUACGGGAGGCAGCAGUAAGGAAUAUUGCGCAAUGGGCGAAAGCCUGACGCAGCGACGCCGCGUGGGGGAUGAAGGUCUUCGGAUUU